rnacentral:misc_RNA from 1 species
AAGAUACCAGACCAUACAUGCAUAUGUAUAUACAUGUGCUUGUGUGUGUGUGCACGCAUCCCACAUCUUGCAUUAUCUGCAGGCGCACACGUAAGCCCUUCGCCCUUCUCUGUCCAUAUCGCGCGCAAGACCGCAUCAGCAUGAAAACGUGCAAGACAGGCAUCAAGAAAGUGAGGGACGUCUCAGAGGCGACGACACUCGUGCUGGACUGGUUCGAGCGGCACAACAAGCCAGCCACACCGCAGUCGCUGGCGGAUGCGCUGGGGAGCCGUGUGGCCAAGCCGCUCCUACAGAAAAUCUUGGAGCAGCUGCACGCCGAAGAGAAGCUUCAUGUGAAGGAUAUGAAGAAGAUGCGCUUCUACUACUUGCGCGUGCUGCCGCUGUCGGACGCCAACGGGGCUACCACGACUGAGCAGCACAGCGAGCUCGAGGACGAUGCAGCCGCCACCACCGGCGAACGAGGAGACGCGGUGGGCGCACCAGAGGUAUGCGGUGGGGCAGAGACGUGUGCGGAAUCACCAGCAGAUACGCAUGCGGCGCUGCUUCACGCCGUGGCCAUCUCCGCCGUGCAGCUUUCAGAGAGGAGUCGCCGCCUCACUCGCUGGCGCGGGUGGCCCUCGUCGACGGAGCGAGCAGCCAAGUAUGCAGAUCUCGCGCGCGAAGUCUGUGAACUUAGGAACAGCCUAGAGCGCCUCCAGUCGAGGCACGCCGGGGAGUCAGCGGAAGCGCACAGUGGCGGCUCAUGGACAUCGCGUGUGCGCCGUGCAGUGUGCCGGUACCGGCGCGCUCGGCGCCACUGGGUGCAGCGCAAGGACUGGGCCAUGUGCUUGCUAGAGGCAACGGCGGGCGACGCCCACACCCCUGUGCAGGCUGCGGCGCUCUUGGGCUGCACGACGGAUGCGGAGGCCGGUGUCUCCUUCGAAGACACGGCGGUGGCGCUGCCAGCUCCACUCCUGCGCGAGUUGAGUCUCUCGCAACGCUGAUGAUGCGAGAAGCAGAAGGCAAAGAAAGACACACACAUACACACACAUACACACACACACACACACCAGCGGAGCAACGGCGCCCUCCGCUCCCACCGCACAUCUCCUGCGUCUCUCUUGCUUAACGCGUAGUGAGCGCCGCCGCCCCCUUUUUUUUGCUGCGUAAUGACUGCUGCCCCUGCUGCUGCCCCGUGAACCCCGCAAACGAACCCUCACUCUGCCCCUCCACUUCCUUUCCGUUAUACCUCAUCGACGCGGAGCGGAGGGGCAGGGGCUCUGCCGCCGUGUGCUGGACGCAAGCACAGGAGAUGCGCGCGCUUAUCUUUUCCGCGCCCCUGCCUCCACACACGCAAAACCCCUCUCACUCUCUUCACGUAUGCGUCUGCUCAUCUGCAUCCGCCAUGCUGCCGCUUCUCUCUCCCUUUCUCGCACGUGUGCGCGUCUCCAAUGGGGCUCUCGUGUGCCGCCUUACGGGACAGGAGAAGCCUUUAGCACCGGCGGCUGCCCGAUCAUCCCGUCCCUCCCUUUACCACCCACUCGACCAUCGUCAUCGCACGUAUCGGCCUUGCCCCCCCCCCCCCCCCCCCCCCCCCGCUCUUGUAUCCUGUUGCAAG